GACGAACGCUGGCGGCGUGCCUAACACAUGCAAGUCGAACGGAGAUUAUUGAUGAAGCUUGCGAUUUAAUAAUCUUAGUGGCGGACGGGUGAGUAACGCGUGGGUAACCUGCCCAUAAGAGGGGGAUAACAGCUGGAAACGGGUGCUAAUACCGCAUAGGUUUCUGGUCGCAUGAUCGAGAAAGGAAAGACGGCCUUUGCGCUGUCGCUUAUGGAUGGACCCGCGGCGUAUUAGUUAGUUGGUGAGGUAAUGGCUCACCAAGACGAUGAUACGUAG
rnacentral:rRNA from 1 species